rnacentral:lncRNA from 1 species
AAGCAAACGAAACUUGAAGUGCUCUGCUCUGGGCAGAUAGCUGGUGGGUGGGAACCGACCUGCCCCCUCGCUCACACAGACAGCGGAGCAACAAAUCUACUUCCAGGGUUCAGGCGUACACAUCUGGAGGAAACCCCCUCGCCAUGGCGACCGCUGCUCGCCCCCACCAUGGUUGGAAACCCUCUCACGAGACCCCCAGUUUCAUCGGACCAACCAGACAACACGGGGAACAAGACGCAGGAACAAGGGACAGCACAGACGACAGCGGAAACGACAACAGUUUCAAGGGCGGGGUCAAAUAUGACAGGUGGCCAAAAGCAAGAAGUGACAUCAGAGCCAGCAGCAAAAACGACGACAGGACAACCUUGGUCUCCUGCGCGGACCACUGUGAAGCCAACUUCGCCUCCAGCAUCAACGCCGGACCACAAGGACGUGACCACUGCGUCUCCCGCUGUUCCCCAGACAGACGAGAAAGCCUUGAGAAAUGACACCUGGAAACCAAGAUCUCCUCACACUCCGAGCCCGAGCAAUCACUCUGAGACGCCACUUGAGCCAGCUUUAGAAGGUGAAACUUCUCACACUCCAGACUCAAGUAGCCACUCAGAGACCGAAAUAACUCAGACGCCACUUGAACGAGUAGACGACAACAGAACUAAAGAGACAAAACCAGACAAAGGCACAAGUACUCAAGCCCCAGUGAUCCCUCAACUCAAGAAAGAAAAGGCUAAGGAGAAAGGUAUCGGUUCUCAGACCGGAGGUGAGGAGAAUGAACCCCACAAAUCAGACAAAAGGCUGUGGUGGAUUCUGCUGCCCGUCCUGCUGGUGGGAGCCGCUGCUGCCAUCGUCCUCAAGUUCAAGAGCAAGAAGCUCAACGACCACACAGAGACCAUUGAUACAGGAACUGAGAAUGCAUCUUUCCAGAGCAGGCCCGAAAGCACCAAAGACGGUGUCAUGCUCCUCGGGGUGAAGUCGUCGGGCGGAGAAGAAAGCGCUUCUGCAAGAUAA